AUUGAACGCUGGCGGCAGGCCUAACACAUGCAAGUCGAGCGAGCGGCGGACGGGUGAGUAAUGUAUGGGGACUGCCCGAUAGAGGGGGAUAAUUACUGGAAACGGUGGCUAAUACCGCAUACUAUCGGAUAACCCAUAUGGGAUUAGCUAGUAGUUUGGGUAAAGGCUCACCUAGGCGACCAUCUCUAGCUGGUCUGAGAGGAUGAUCAGCAACACUGGGACUGGGACACGGCCCAGACUCCUACGGAGGCAGAAGUGGGGAAUAUUGCACAAUGGGCGCAAGCCGUAGGCAGCCAGGCCGCGUGUAGGAAGAAGGCCUUAGGGUUGUAAAGUACUUUAAUCGGGGAGUCGUUACCCGCAGAAGAAGCACCGGCUAACUCCGUGCCAGCAGCCGCGGUAAUAC
rnacentral:rRNA from 1 species